AGCGGCAUGGGGUCCUACCACGGCAGGGAGAGCUUCGAGACCUUCUCUCACCACCGCUCGUGCCUGCUGCGGUCUCUGCUGAACGACGAGGUCUACAAAGCCAGAUACCACCCCAGCCCGGCCAAGAUGACCUGGCACUGAGGAGGGGCCACCCUGCCGGGCCCCCAUGCUGAGCGCCACUUCUGGAGCCUGGGCCCCAGCCCCCUGCUCCUCUGCCAACCCCAACUGGCCCCCGACCCCCAGGUGGACCUCGGGCCUCACCCUUCCAUGUCCCCAAACCUUGCUAGACACACAGAGACCAAUAAAGUUCUGCAGCUCA